rnacentral:rRNA from 1 species
GACAUUUUUCAUUCCUCCCCUCCCUAAACACACCUGAUCCCAUUGGAUCUUGAAUGCUAAGCAAGGUUAGCUCUGGUUAGUUCUUGGAUGGGAGGCCUCGAAGGAAUCCCAAAUGCUAUAGUUC